UUUACUUUACAAGCGCCAGAACUUAGUAAAAUCUAAGUUGACGAGGACAGAGUUAAUCGAAUUGUCGGCGGAUACUCUGCGGUGUGUUUACCAUCGUAAAGCUUUUACAAACCAUAUAAGUGAUUAUAUGUACAAAAAAAAGUUUAUGUAAACUG
rfam:Clostridium sp. JC272 contig145, whole genome shotgun sequence.